rnacentral:rRNA from 1 species
CCUACGGGAGGCAGCAGUGGGGAAUAUUGCACAAUGGGGGAAACCCUGAUGCAGCGACGCAGCGUGAGUGAAGAAGUAAUUCGUUAUGUAAAGCUCUAUCAGCAGGGAAGAAAAUGACGGUACCUGAGUAAGAAGCCCCGGCUAACUACGUGCCAGCAGCCGCGGUAAUACGUAGGGGGCAAGCGUUAUCCGGAUUUACUGGGUGUAAAGGGAGCGUAGACGGCAGUGCAAGUCUGGAGUGAAAGGCGGGGGCUCAACCCCCGGACUGCUCUGGAAACUGUACGGCUUGAGUGCAGGAGAGGUAAGUGGAAUUCCUAGUGUAGCGGUGAAAUGCGUAGAUAUUAGGAGGAACACCAGUGGCGAAGGCGGCUUACUGGACUGUAACUGACGUUGAGGCUCGAAAGCGUGGGGAGCAAACAGGAUUAGAUACCCCAGUAGUC